rnacentral:lncRNA from 1 species
CAGAUUCAUGUGAAAAUGCUUUGGGGUGAGACCGUAGCAGAGGCCAACAGAAGUCAUUCAGUCGUCUCCUUACAUACCACUCAGCUCUGGUGUAUUUCCACUGAAGUGAUGUAGCGUUCUGAUCAGAAGUGCAGCCAGCGGCUCUCGUCCUCCAAGCCCAAGAAGUUUUGGGGGGCUGCAGAGAUGAUUGGUCCCAGUUACAAAGGGACAUUCACGGUCACUCUCCAGGACCUUCUUGAGUAACAGUGUUUGACUGGAACCAUAUACUGUGAACUCUCCAAGGUAAAAUAAUUAAAAUGAUUUUAAUAGACACCAGGAAGCCAAGA